rnacentral:rRNA from 1 species
GAUAUUAAUAAAUUUAUUAAAGAUUAUUUUUAUUUAAUUAAAUUUUUAUUUAAAAUAUUUUAUUUUUUUUUUAUAAAUUUAGAUAAAAUUAUUAUAAUUAUAGUAAAUUAAGGUAUAGUGAUAGAAUAUUGAAAUAUAAUGAAAAUUUAAAUUUUUAAAAGAAAAUUUUAUUUAUUGUACCUUGUGUAUCAGGGUUUAUUAAUUAAAAAUUAUAAAAUUUAAUAUUCUCGAAUUUAAAAGAGCUAAGAAAUUAAAAAUUUUAUUGUAAAAUAAAUAUUUAAAAUAAUUUUUUAGUAAUGAAAUGUUAGUCGUUUUUAAAUUUAUCUAGUUUUUUAAGAAAUAAAUUUAAUUUAGUUACUUAUUGAUUUUAAAAUUAUUAAUAUAAUUUUAUAUUAUAAUAAAAUAAGUAAAUAAUAUUUUAAGGGAUAAGCUUUAAAAUAAAUUAUUAAAAAUAAUUAAAUAUUAUAAAAUUAAUAAGAAUGAAAGUAUCUAUUAUUUAGUGUAUUAUAACAAAUUUUAUUUAAAUUUAUAAUUUAUUUAUUAUUUUAAUUUUUUUAUUAAAUUAAUUAAUUUAAUAUUAUAAUUAAUGAAAUAAUGAUAGAAUUAGUAUAAUUUAAUGUUUAAAAUAAUUUUUUAUUAAGGUUAAUUUAAGGAAUUCGGCAAAUAUUUUUUUCACCUGUUUAUUAAAAACAUGUCUUUUUGAUAAUAAUUUAAAGUCCGACCUGCCCUAUGAUAAUUUAUUAAAUGGCCGCGAUAAUUUGAUCGUGCAAAGGUAGCAUAAUAAUUAGUUUCUUAAUUAGGAACUGGUAUGAAAGGUUAAAUGAAAAAAAAACUGUCUCAAUUUAAUUUAAAUUAAAAUUUUAUUUUUAAGUAAAAAAGCUUAAAUAAUUUUAAAAGACGAGAAGACCCUAUAGAGUUUUAUAUUUAUGAAUAAUUUUUUAUUUUAAGAAUUAAUAUUUAAAAUUGUUCAAUUAAAUAUUUGGUUGGGGUGAUCGAAAAAUUGUAUAAACUUUUUUUAUAAAUUUACCAUUAAUUUAUGAAUGUUUGAUCCAUAAUUUAUGAUUAAAAGAUUAAAUUACCUUAGGGAUAACAGCGUAAUUUUUUUUGAGAGUUCUUAUUGAAAAAAAAGUUUGCGACCUCGAUGUUGGAUUAAAAUUUACUUUUGGUGCAGAAGUUAAAAGGUUAGGUCUGUUCGACCUUUAAAAUUUUACAUGAUCUGAGUUUAAACCGGUGUAAGCCAGGUUGGUUUCUAUCUUUAAAAUAAAUUAAAUAUUUUAGUACGAAAGGAUUAAAUAUUUAUAAUAAUUAUUUAAAUUUGAAUGUUAUUAAAUUUAUAAUUACUUUGGCAGAAUAGUGUUU